AUGGGUGUCGGGAAUGGAUCAGCAGACGUGAACCAGCAGACGGCGCGCAAUGAAAUACGAGAUGAGACCGCGCCGCUUCUUCCGGUCAAGGUGGAGGAGGAGGGAUUCCAUGAGUUUAAUGGAGCUUCAUUCUCCGGGGCAGUUUUCAAUCUCUCGACCACCAUCGUUGGUGCUGGAAUCAUGGCCUUGCCAGCAAGCAUCAAGAUGCUGGGCCUCAUCCCUGGCCUUCUGAUGAUCAUCUUUGUGGCACUGCUCACAGAGGCAUCCAUUGACAUGCUUAUCAGGUGCAGCCACCAAGGAAAGAUCACGUCAUAUGGGUGGCUGAUGGGUGAGGCAUAUGGACAAUGGGGGAGGAUUGCGCUGCAGGCCUCUGUGGUUAUAAACAACAUCGGCGUGAUGAUUGUUUACAUGAUUAUCAUUGGUGAUGUAUUAUCUGGAACGUCGUCAGGCGGUAUUCAUCAUCGUGGCAUAUUGGAGGGCUGGUUUGGAGCACAUUUGUGGAAUUCUCGCGCCAUUGUUCUUCUUGUGACAACUCUUUUCGUGUUUGCUCCAUUGGUGAGCUUUAAACGAUUGGAUUCACUGAGCUACACAUCUGCCCUAUCAGUUGCUCUCGCUGUGGUUUUUGUUGUUAUUACUGCUGGGAUUGCCAUAAUCAAAGUCAUCAAUGGAACUGUAGCAAUGCCCAAGCUUUUCCCAGAAAUAGAUGAUCUUAGUUCUGUCUGGAAGCUUUUUACGGCUGUCCCUGUCCUUGUCACUGCAUAUAUCUGCCACUAUAAUGUUCACAGCAUUGACAAUGAGCUUGAGGAUAAAACACAAACUAAACCAAUUGUGCGAACAUCACUGGCCCUUUGCUCCAGUGUUUACAUUGCCACAAGUUUCUUUGCUUAUCUUCUCUUUGGAGAUGGUACACUGGAUGAUGUGCUCGCCAACUUCGAUUCAAAUCUUGGCAUUCCUUUCAGCUCUGUCUUCAAUGACGUAGUCAGAGUGAGCUAUGCUGCGCACGUCAUGCUUGUCUUCCCCAUCGUCUUCUUUGCCCUUAGGCUCAACUUGGAUGGGCUACUCUUUCCCACGUCGAGGCACAUUUCUUAUGACAAUAAGAGAUUUACAAUCAUAACCAUCUCACUCCUCGUGGUUAUUUAUACUGCUGCCAUCUUCAUACCAAGCAUUUGGGAUGCAUUCCAGUUUACUGGUGCCACAGCUGCCGUUUUGAUUGGUUUUAUCUUUCCUGCCAUGGUCAUAUUAAGGGAUCCUUAUGGAAUCGCAACCAAGCGUGACAAGAUAUUGGCUGUAACCAUGAUCGUGCUUGCUGUUGUCUCAAACUCUGUUGCCCUAUACAGUGAUGCGAUGAACAUCUUCCGUAGGAAAGAGGUAGCCUGA
rnacentral:rRNA from 1 species